rnacentral:tRNA from 2 species
GGAGAGGUGCUCGAGUGGUUGAAGAGGCACGCCUGGAAAGCGUGUAUACCCCUAAAGGGUAUCGGGGGUUCGAAUCCCCCUCUCUCCGC